ensembl:antisense Gm43352 predicted gene 43352
GGGGCUUCGCUCCUUGGAGCCCUCGGUGGUUUAACGCACUUCUGUGCACUGUACCGAGAGAGCUAGCGGAUGCACUUUGUUUUCCACCCCAUGAUAGACUUCACAGUUGUGUUUAGACAUCCCUGUUUUAAUGCACCGCGUCCCUCAGAGCCACCGAAACGUCGGAGGACGAAACCGGUCCGGUAAAGGCCAGAGUUUCCUGCCUAUUUGCCACCGUUUAGCCAUAGAACCACUUGGGAUAAAUUUCCCUGCCCGCUGCUCACACACGUGCGCACCAUGGACUAGGGGCCGUUAUUCCCCACCCAGCCCGCGAGGGACCAGGGCUCAGUGGCCACCGUGGUCGCGCACCCUGCUUGCUUCCCCUCCGCUUCCCCGGGACCCGCCACGCCUCUCCGGACAGCUGCCCACUCACCUCAUGCCCGUUGCUGGCUGGGAUGAUUUCGGACUCGUUAACCAAGGAUGACUUGAUGUCGGCUAAGUCGCCCUCCUCUUCGGGAUGACUGAUCUCGGCGAAGAUCUUCUCCUUCUGGGGAUCGCCUUCGUCCUUGAAGGGGAUCAUCUCAUCGGUGGCGCAGAGUUCCGGGUCCCCCCCGCCGCCUCCUCCGGAAAGUUGGGGCAUCCCGGCGGCUGUGUAAUCUCCGCUCCGCUGCGGGAGCACUCAGAGACAGCAGGAAGGGAGGGUCGAUGUGAGGUGGGGGAGUUGGAAGACUGAGUGCGGGAGGACUGUGAAUGGAAGCCGGGUGGGCAAGCGAGGGGCCCACGGCUGGAGCAGCUGCAGGAGCCUCUGCGAUUGCCGCGCUUUCCCACUUAGAAGGACGCCGGCGCCCGGCCCUGGGGCGAAGGGCACCAGACUGCGAGGGCGGCAGCCGCCGGCGCCUCUGAGAGCGUCUACGCCGCUCCGCGUGCACUAGGCUAGGCUGCCAGGGCUGGGUGGCCACCCCACGCCGCACUCGUUGCUGGGGUCUGUGCUUCGAGGACACCGGUUCCGGAGGGGACACGACUUGCCAAAGUGCAAACGAGGGUCCCGUGGUGCGUCACCGUGCAAAACCUCUCCACGGAUUCCUCGGAUGCUGAUUUCGGUGAUUUUGGGUUUUGUUUUGUUUUGUUUUUGAGAAGAGGAGAGCUGGGCCAAGAGGCUCCCUUUGCCCCAGCGGAGGUACGAGAAGAAUCAGAAAAUACCGAAAAGUCCACUUCCUUCAGAGUAAACAAUAAAGAGCCACCGGGCUGCAGACGUCCGCGUUAGAGCUUCUUUCCUUCCCUUUCGCUUCGGUUUUCCUUCUGGAGGAGCAUUUAAUCUGCUGGAGGGGGAGGGGCGGAGGAGGAGGGGAGAAAAAGAGAAGUUUGCCAAGAAUAAAGUUUGUGCUGAUGAGCGCUGGGAAUCGGCGGUGGCUGGCACGGCGGAGUCUUGGGGAGUCACAGCAGGAGCUUCGGGCCCAAAUGUUCCAGUCCGCAGCUCGGGCCGAUACACACACUUACACACACACACACACACACACACACACACACACACACACACACACACACUCGAGCCCGAUCCCUCUUUGUUCCCGGCUCGAGUUUCUGCCUGGCUCGCCUCUCUCCCCGCCUCCCCUCGGUCAAAGCAAAGAGCUGCCGGUGGCCCCUCGGCUCCUCCGGGCAGACCGGCCGGGGAACACCCGGAGCGUAGCCGCUUGCAAGGCUCCGGGAAUGUCCGAAUGCCAGGGCCCACGAAAGCGCAGCCCGGUCCCUCCGGUGCGCGCUGCCCCGCAGGUGAGCGGUUGCGCCUUCCCACCGCUUCUCCUCGCCGCGCCUAGCCGGCGCUGCAAAGCUAUUCACUUGCGUCGCUUCUCCUCCCCCGCCCCUCCCCCGCCUCCUGCUCUCCUUGGCUGCCUGCUGGAGGGGUGGGGAGGAGGGAGUCUGUUAGGAGGAGGAGGAGAUCCAGGUUCCCCCCCCCCAGCCCUAGUUCAUUUCCUAGCACCCAAAGGACGAGUCAUACUUGGGGGCGGGGGGGCGCCGUGGGGGUGCGUAUGUGUUUGCGCCCGCCUGUUCAUGCCUGGGGGGGGGGGGGACACCAUACAACCUGAAGAUAGACUGGGUGCUGUGUGUAACCCAACCCCAAAGAACAGUGUGGCCCACGUGAAAAUUGACGAGAAACUACGGGAAUGGCUUAACUUCAUCAUCUGAGCAUCUCUUCUUCUCUUGCCGACCCCCCCCACCCCGCCCCCGGCGCCUCACUUCUAGUCCUUUGCCAGUCUUUCUUCAACCUCCUUCCCGCCGCCCACUCUAGCCCCCUCACUCAGGCAAGGGGAGGAAGAUGAAAGAGAAAGCCGCUGGCGCUGUGGUCGACACCACAUUGAUAGAUGCUCUGACAGAGGGAAUAAGGCGAGAAUUAGGGACUAGGGGAAGGAAAAGGAGAAAAUGUAACACAUUGCUCACCUAACCAGAGAGAAGAGAUUCAGCAAAGGCAAACAGAAGAGUUGUGACUCUACUAACCGUGAAUCACACACACUUCGGAGACAAGGGCACACCACCCUAGCGAAAAUAAAAUCUCCAGGCUUACCAGGGGGGAAGGAUCAGUAAGAAGGGUGUGGAUGAAGACUGAGCCUUAAAUAUCGCUUCUACGCUAUCACAUUCAUUGUGCCUUUAUCACCGAAUGAACGUGGGUUUUUGGAGAUUCUCGACUCAGCGUGUAGAGACCUCGUAGAAAAAGGAAAAUACAUCCCAAAAGGAGGGAGAAGAACAACCUAGGAGAGGCAGGCAGCACUGGGCAGUUGCUGACAUCCUGGAGACUCCGCUGAAAGGGACCUUUAAAGGAUGGAUGUAAAUACGAAUCAAACCUCAAAAAUUCUCCGGUUCCCACUGUCUCCUUGGUGCAUUUUGGACAGGACUUUUAAGGGCGACGCUUUGUGAAAGUCACUGUGUAAGUGGGGCUUAAGUUUGGAAACACAUUGUCUUUUAGCUCUCAACCCCUCCCCUCAAGUCAAAUAUUCAGGCAAAAUCAUUAGACCAGUGAGGCAGCCAUCUGUAGAACCUGGGAGCAGUAAACAGGAAGAAUUGUAUCUCCAUCUUACUUAAAUGGAAAAUAAGACUCC